UCCCCAAUUCCUCAUUCUUCACGCAAACAAAAAGGAAAAUACCCAGGUCAAUUUUGGUCUCCAUCUUCUGCGAUUUCUCUGCCAGUGACCAGCGAACUUCUGCGUUUGGAAGUUCUCGCUGCUCUCCGUCUCCGCCGGCGCUACUCGUUACUCCGACAGUCCGACAAUUCCACCCCGCCAUUGAACUGAUCUACUUGCUGAUUUGGAUUUUUAUUUUUUCUGAGAUGAAGCUGUUCAUUUGAAGACAUUUUCUUUGUGGGUUUUUGGUUUAUUUUCCCAUGUUGUUGAGCUUCUGAGUUGGACAUUUUUGCGAAACUGCAAUUGUAUUUGAGCUGAGAUUUUCUGCCGCUGCAAUAAGGACCACCGUCUCCGUCACUGAAUCCGGUCGUGAAAUCUGAAUACCCAUUUUAGUAGUGUAGAUCGGCUAAGCAAAUCGGAGCUUUUUUCUUCACCCUCACUCUGUCACUCUAAACCAGACGCCAAACUCACGAUCUCUUUUGCCGGCCCGGCAAAACCAAUUUUGUGCAGCUUCUUCCCGGCGAGGACAGACUAUUUCCCGGUGUGUUCAGAUUACCGGCAAGUUUUGUAUAUUCCGGCAACUUUCGAACAACUUUCAGGCGGGACACAGCAGGACUUGCCAGUGCUCUUGAGCAGAUCCGACACGCUUCAGGAAAACUUGCUCCAGGUUCUUUCGUUCUAUAUCUGGUACUCGUGGUAUCGGUAUUUUUAUUGUAUUUUUUCUGCUCCCGGGAGUUGGUACCUCCCGUUUUUCAGUUUUCCUUUGUUGUGUGAGUUAAAUUACUGACAUCUUACCUCGUACUAGUUUAUUUACUGUAUUAGUGUGCCUGUUGUUGCAACUUGUAUUCUUCUGGUUUGGUAUGUUGCCUUGUGUGAUAGUGAUUCCCCUUACUCUGCCGUAGGUAGAGUGGUUGUGGUCUGGAAUGGUCGAGUGAGGUCAUGUCCUCGGGGGGAACGGGGGGUGGGGCGGGAGGCAAGGGAGGUAAAGGGAACAAGGGUAUCUGUAGGUUGAGAAUUGGGUCAUGGAACGUAGGUACAUUGACGGGUAAAUCUAUAGAGUUGGUGAAGAUCCUCCAGAAGAUGAGGGUCAAUAUAGCGUGUGUCCAGGAGACAAGCUGGGUAGGGUCGAGGGCGAGGGACGUGGACGGGUAUAAACUUUGGUACUCAGGAGUUUGAUAGAUUGAUGACUAUUAAGUUGGUGGUUGGAGAAUGCACCCUAAACAUCGUUAGUGCCUAUGCGCCGUAUGUGGGCCUAGAUGAGGAGGUUAAACUGCGCUUCUGGGAAGGAUUAGAUGAGAUUGUGCGUCAUGUUCCGCCUGCUGAGAAGCUAUUCAUAUGAGGGGAUUUCAAUGGGCAUAUUGGGUCGACCGCAGGUGGUUAUGGCGAGGUGCAUNNNN
rnacentral:lncRNA from 1 species